rnacentral:rRNA from 1 species
AGAAUGACUCUCGGCAACGGAUAUCUAGGCUCUUGCAUCGAUGAAGAACGUAGCGAAAUGCGAUACUUGGUGUGAAUUGCAGAAUCCCGUGAACCAUCGAGUCUUUGAACUCAAGUUGCGCCCGAUGCCAUUAGGUUGAGGGCACGUCUGCCUGGGUGUCACAU